ACUGUCUCUACCAAGGCGACUGAAACAUACACAGAAACCUCCUUUUGUAACUGUGCACACGAUCCAGGGAUUGGAACUGCUGCAAGAGAUUAAUGGGCGCCCCGGGCAGGAGAUUAGUGAGAUUUCAGCAGAAAAACAAAUACUGGAUAUUCUCUCUCCUGUGAAGAAGCAGCACACCUAUGGGGCUUGAUCAUGGAUGAGUGUGAGAGACUGAGGAAGGAAGAGGAAGGACAUCAAGGAACUAGAUGCUUAGUGCCUGAACCCUGUCAGAUGGACUAAAGAACAAGAAGUGAAAAAGAAGUCCAGUCAAGCAGCUCGCACCUGUAGCUCCACACUUGGGAGGCAGAGGCCGAAGGAUUGCUGCGAGUGUGAGAUUAACCUUCCACGCAUUGAAUCAGAACCCGAUGCCUUUCUACAAACACCAGCAGAAACUACGCGAGCAUCCUUUUCGUGUAAAGCAGAGCAGGUUCCUUUUCAUUAGCUCUUAACUCAUCAGGAGUCUGCGGACAGUCCUGUUCUCUCUUGGGACUCGUUGGGAACACUGUAUUCACAAGGGGGCCCCUUUAAAGGGAGCCUUUCACACUGGAGAGCAG
rnacentral:lncRNA from 1 species